AGCAGGACCAAGACGACGGCUGGGACCAGGCACCGCUUGGCCCGUUUCUUCGGAGGACGGCGGACGACAGGCUCCAUUAUUUAGCAUCUAGUAACCUUGUAAAGCAGCUGGAUUGGCCAAAGAUAUCAGUUUGGGAAUGCGGCUCCAGACAGGUUUCUACAGCACAGAUUUGAAGUCCUGUAAUCAUCUUCAGUCUCAAGCUUCAGGAGGGACCACCUGCCUGGUUGUACACUUCAUUGAGGAAGCCAUUUGUAAAACUUGUGGUGCAAGCGUGAACAUGUUCAUUCACUUACUGGUUCACUUUGUGGUCUAAACGUGGGCAGAACUCUUUCACCUUUUGUGUCGGGCAGGUUUAUCUAAAUGUAGAGACCUUAACAGUAGCAGGAGAAGUUCAUGCAGCAGUCAUCAGCAGCUGAGAGAUUGUUGUGUGCCAUAAAUCAAAGUUCGAGGAAAAGUCAUCAGUGGUAAACAUGCUAAGAAAUGAAGCAGACCUUUGAGUACGAAAAAGUGAAUCAAACUGAAUGAUUGACCUUAAGGAACAAGUUCUUAGGGUCUAAUGAUGUAACAGUACAUGUCUGUCUUUCAAAGUCUGCCUUGUGCUUUUAUUAUCAUGCACUUAAUGACAUGUUCAUUGAUAAGUAUGCUGUGGUUACCAUGAAAUAUCAAUAUGCCAGCUGUUAAAGCAGAAGAAA